rnacentral:misc_RNA from 1 species
UCCGGUUUGUCACCGGCAGUCAUCCUAGAGUGCCCAGCUUCACCUGCUGGCAACUAAGAUCAAGGGUUGCGCUCGUUGCGGGACUUAACCCAACAUCUCACGACACGAGCUGACGACAACCAUGCACCACCUGUCUCCAAUGCUCCAAAGAGCGGCUCUAUCUCUAAAGCUUUCAUCGGGAUGUCAAGACCUGGUAAGGUUCUUCGCGUUGCUUCGAAUUAAACCACAUACUCCACUGCUUGUGCGGGUCCCCGUCAAUUCCUUUGAGUUUCAGUCUUGCGACCGUACUCCCCAGGCGGAAUGCUUAAUGUGUUUACUUCGGCACCAAGGGUAUCGAAACCCCUAACACCUAGCAUUCAUCGUUUACGGCGUGGACUAC